GUCGAGCGGUAACGGGGUAGCUUGCUACCCGCUGACGAGNNNNNNACGGGUGAGUAAUGCAUAGGAAUCUGCCCGAUAGUGGGGGAUAACCUGGGGAAACCCAGGCUAAUACCGCAUAAGUCCUACGGGAGAAAGGGGGCUCCGGCUCCCGCUAUUGGAUGAGCCUAUGUCGGAUUAACUAGUUGGUGAGGUAAUGGCUCACCAANNNAACGAUCCGUAGCUGGUCUGAGAGGAUGAUCAGCCACAUCGGGACUGAGACACGGCCCGAACUCCUACGGGAGGCAGCAGUGGGGAAUAUUGGACAAUGGGCGAAAGCCUGAUCCAGCCAUGCCGCGUGUGUGAAGAAGGCCCUCGGGUUGUAAAGCACUUUCAGCGAGGAAGAACGCCUAGUGGUUAAUACCCAUUAGGAAAGACAUCACUCGCAGAAGAAGCACCGGCUAACUCCGUGCCAGCAGCCGCGGUAAUACGGAGGGUGCAAGCGUUAAUCGGAAUUACUGGGCGUAAAGCGCGCGUAGGUGGCUUGAUAAGCCGGUUGUGAAAGCCCCGGGCUCAACCUGGGAACGGCAUCCGGAACUGUCAAGCUAGAGUGCAGGAGAGGAAGGUAGAAUUCCCGGUGUAGCGGUGAAAUGCGUAGAGAUCGGGAGGAAUACCAGUGGCGAAGGCGGCCUUCUGGACUGACACUGACACUGAGGUGCGAAAGCGUGGGUAGCAAACAGGAUUAGAUACCCUGGUAGUCCACGCCGUAAACGAUGUCGACCAGCCGUUGGGUGCCUAGCGCACUUUGUGGCGAAGUUAACGCGAUAAGUCGACCGCCUGGGGAGUACGGCCGCAAGGUUAAAACUCAAAUGAAUUGACGGGGGCCCGCGCAAGCGGUGGAGCAUGUGNNNNNAUUCGAUGCAACGCGAAGAACCU
rnacentral:rRNA from 1 species